ensembl:snRNA U6 U6 spliceosomal RNA
GUGCUUGUUUCGGCGGCACAUACAGUCAAAUCAGAUAACAGAGACGAUUAGCAUGGGCCUGUAUGAGGAUGACAUGCAAAUUUGUGAAGUGUUCCAUAAAAAC